rnacentral:rRNA from 1 species
GACGAACGCUGGCGGCGUGCUUAACACAUGCAAGUCGAGCGGUAAGGCCCUUUCGGGGGUACACGAGCGGCGAACGGGUGAGUAACACGUGGGUGACCUGCCCUCAGCUCUGGGAUAAGCCUGGGAAACUGGGUCUAAUACUGGAUAUGACUCCACGGUGCAUGUCGUGGGUGGAAAGCCUUGUGCGGCUGAGGAUGGGCCCGCGGCCUAUCAGCUUGUUGGUGGGGUGAGGCCUACCAAGGCGACGACGGGUAGCCGGCCUGAGAGGGCGACCGGCCACACUGGGACUGAGACACGGCCCAGACUCCUACGGGAGGCAGCAGUGGGGAAUCUUGCGCAAUGGGCGAAAGCCUGACGCAGCGACGCCGCGUGAGGGAUGAC